UGGGGGAUAUUGCACAAUGGAGGAAACUCUGGUGCAGCAACGCCGCGUGAAGGAUGAAGGUCUUCGGAUUGUAAACUUUUGUACUUGGGGACGAUAAUGACGGUACCCAAGCAGCAAGCUCCGGCUAACUACGUGCCAGCAGCCGCGGUAAUACGUAGGGAGCAAGCGUUGUCCGGAUUUACUGGGUGUAAAGGGUGCGUAGGCGGCUAUGCAAGUCAGUUGUGAAAACUAUGGGCUCAACCCAUAGCCUGCAAUUGAAACUGCGUGGCUUGAGUGAAGUAGAGGUAGGUGGAAUUCCCGGUGUAGCGGUGAAAUGCGUAGAGAUCGGGAGGAACACCAGUGGCGAAGGCGACCUACUGGGCUUUAACUGACGCUGAGGCACGAAAAGCAUGGGUA
rnacentral:rRNA from 1 species